rnacentral:rRNA from 1 species
GUGAACGCUGGCGGUAGGCCUAACACAUGCAAGUCGCACGGCAGCACAGUAAGCGCUUGCUCUUACGGGUGGCGAGUGGCGGACGGGUGAGGAAUACAUCGGAAUCUACUUUUUCGUGGGGGGUAACGUAGGGAAACUUACGCUAAUACCGCAUACGACCUACGGGUGAAAGCAGGGGAUCUUCGGACCUUGCGCGAUUGAAUGAGCCGAUGUCGGAUUAGCUAGUUGGCGGGGUAAAGGCCCACCAAGGCGACGAUCCGUAGCUGGUCUGAGAGGAUGAUCAGCCACACUGGAACUGAGACACGGUCCAGACUCCUACGGGAGGCAGCAGUGGGGAAUAUUGGACAAAGGGCGCAAGCCUGAUCCAGCCAUACCGCGUGGGUGAAGAAGGCCUUCGGGUUGUAAAGCCCUUUUGUUGGGAAAGAAAAGCAGCAGGUUAAUACCCCGCUGUUCUGACGGUACCCAAAGAAUAAGCACCGGCUAACUUCGUG